rnacentral:rRNA from 1 species
AUUGAACGCUGGCGGCAUGCUUUACACAUGCAAGUCGAACGGUAACAGGGUGCUUGCACCGCUGACGAGUGGCGAACGGGUGAGUAAUGCGUCGGAACGUGCCGAGUAGUGGGGGAUAACGCAUCGAAAGGUGUGCUAAUACCGCAUACGUACUGAGGUAGAAAGUGGGGGACCUUCGGGCCUCACGCUAUUCGAGCGGCCGACGUCUGAUUAGCUAGUUGGUGAGGUAAAGGCUUACCAAGGCGACGAUCAGUAGCGGGUCUGAGAGGAUGAUCCGCCACACUGGGACUGAGACACGGCCCAGACUCCUACGGGAGGCAGCAGUGGGGAAUUUUGGACAAUGGGCGCAAGCCUGAUCCAGCCAUGCCGCGUGUCUGAAGAAGGCCUUCGGGUUGUAAAGCACUUUAAGCGAGGAGGAGGCUACCUGGAUUAAUACUCUAGGAUAGUGGACGUUACUCGCAGAAUAAGCACCGGCUAACUCUGUGCCAGCCGCCGCGGUAAAAC